GUGAAUUUGGGAGAUGUUUUUUAUCACAGCAUGACUGUAGAUAGAGCUGACUAGUAUACAAGAAGCAUCAUAUUUUCAAGGCUUUAUGGUUCGUAAUAAACUUGUCUUAAUUUACCCAUUGCUUAAAAUUUUGCAUAAGAAGUUUGCUUUAAAAAAAGAGAUGGCUAUUAGUUUAUUUAAGUUUAAUAUUUAUUUUUUUCCAGAUUCUGGCUGUUGGUCACUUGGGAUAUUACUGUACAUUGGACACAUACAAACUGAAGUGACUCAAGGGAUCCUUUUCCUUGAAGAGUUGUUAAGCGCUCAUCAGAAGCCUUGGUGAUUCAUCUGAACUAUCCACUCUACUGGGCAGUCCUAGUGUUGAUUCUGACCUUGUUUGGCACUCAUCCCAAGAUAUUUGCAGAAGAUGUGAAAAAGCCAGGUCGUCUACUAGGUAGACGUCCGAAUAUAUGGAAAAUUCUAAACAGCAAUGACUUAGACAAGGUAGGAAUUUAUUUCUUGCUCAUGUAAAACUUUGAGCAGGCUGCCCACGGUGGUGAUGGUGCUCUGUGGUAUCGGGGAC
rnacentral:lncRNA from 1 species